rnacentral:rRNA from 1 species
UACGAAGGGGGCUAGCGUUGUUCGGAAUCACUGGGCGUAAAGGGCGCGUAGGCGGCCGAUCAAGUCGGGGGUGAAAGCCUGUGGCUCAACCACAGAAUUGCCUUCGAUACUGUUUGGCUUGAGUUCGGGAGAGGUGAGUGGAACUGCGAGUGUAGAGGUGAAAUUCGUAGAUAUUCGCAAGAACACCAGUGGCGAAGGCGGCUCACUGGCCCGAUACUGACGCUGAGGCACGAAAGCGUGGGGAGCAAACAGG